GCCCAAAUAGCUCAGUUGGGAGAUCGUUAAACUAUGGAUCGAAAAGUCCUUGGUUCGAUCCCGAGUUUCGAGA
rnacentral:tRNA from 1 species